CUUUCAUGAGUAGUAAAGCCUCAAGACCCUAGUGGGAAGACUCUGGCUCCAAAAAUGCAACAUGGCAGCUCCUAAAGUGGACAUUUUGSUUUCAAGUUUGGACAACGUCAAGGACUCAACACAAAGCUGCAAGCAGCUGGGAAAAAGAACCAGGGUGAUGAAUGAAUAGAGGCGAAGGGAUAAGAGCUGGUAGAAGGACACAAGCUGUCAGUCUGCUGCUCACCAUGUUGGCCUCACGCCUCAAGACACACACACGAAGCAUCAGCUGCUGAAAUAAAGCCACAUCCUCAGGAUCUCUACUGCCUCUGCCAGAGAACCAAUGUGUCACCAGUUUUGCUAUGAACCUCCACAGACUGCUUCCAUCUCUUUAUAUAGGAACUAGAAAAAUCAACAGUAACAUGUUGACACCUCCUGUUUCCUGGCAGCAAACUCCCAUACCAGGCUCUGAUUCACAGUUUGAGAAGACUUUAGUUUCUACAAAAUAAACUUGCUUAUAUUCGAACAUGUGUUUAACACACGUUGCCUGCAUUUAGAAACUUGGGGGUGUUUGAAUCCCUCCACUAAAGCCUCCAAGCUGUCCAACCUGUUGCAUACAGGUUAAUGUUUCUCUGUGGUGUGUUUGAGAGCGUAGCGUAGCCUUGGAUUCACACUGGAACCACAAUGCACCGGGGCAUCCGGCCCUUGGGCCGGAGAAGCUCCAAACCAGCAACUACUCCCU